CGACAUGCGCGACAUUGUUUUUUCCAUCGAUUUUCCUUCAAUUUGACGUCACGAUAUUCGUCGACGCAGUUUGACAGUUCUCUUCAGUUGGUCUUGUUUGGACUUGAUCAAAUCAGAGAAACUUUGUACCGAAUCGAACCAGUUUACGUUUCCGAAAGUUAGUGUGGAUUUUGGCCGGUUGAUUGAUUUCCUGAUUUCGGUCUUCGUGAUGGAGGAGGAGGAGGAGGAGGAGAACGGGUCACAUCGUUGCUCCGGCGGGCCAUGCUGGAAGACGGGAAGGGAAGCACCCGGUCUGCGAUCGAGGAAGCGGAUUGAUGUUUAACUUUCCGCGGGAGGUGGCGGUGCGUGCCAUACCCAAGGAGGAGGACAAUGAAACGGCAAGUAAUGGAUGUUUCCCCCAAUGGAACAGAAGGAGGGAGAAAGACCAUUCCCCUUCCCGUCAAGUCUUGGGGAGGUGUACAAUGUUCCGUGUGAAAAGAAAGGUGGAGGAAGACGGCGUUUCUGAUCCGCCGGAGGUUUUUAUACGGUAACCAAAAAUAUUCCAAUCGAAUCCUGCUGACAACCCAGCAUUUCAGCA